AACCCCCAGCUAGGCUGGGGGGCCCCGAAAACUUAUAGCUAUGCGUAAGUUAUAAAUACUCCUUUUGAUUAGCUAAGAAAGAGGUGCGGUCUGGCAAGUGUGCCCUGAGCAAAUCAAA
rnacentral:sRNA from 1 species